rnacentral:lncRNA from 1 species
UUUUUUUUUUUUUUUUUUUUUUUUUUCAGACUAUGGAGGACGAAAGUUCUUUCUGAGUGGAAAUGUGAGAAAAUGUUGUACUCAUCUUUAAAAAGAUAGAGGCUGGGAGGUAGAGAUGAUUUCAUGUAGUAAUUACAGACCGAAUAGCACUGAUAACUGGGGAAAUUUGAUGGAAUCAUUCAUUAAUCUCUGCAUCAAAGAGCAGAAAACACCAGGAAGCAACCAAUGGGGCUUUUGGAAAUGCCUACGGAAAAGAAGGUUCAAGUGCAACUUUCUUUGCAAAUUUGGCCACAUUGCCCACCAUAGUCACACCAUCCCUUAGCCCUGAACCCCUGGAUUUGUAUCGUCCUCCAGCCUGAUCCGGGGGAUGGGGGGGAGCUGGGACCACAGAUUCUACGAAUGUUAAUAGGGCAUGGUUUCUGCCUUCCAAGAGUGCUAAUGAGGGAGACCAGUGUACAUAUUAAUGAAAGAAAAAGUUGAUUGUAGUUAAAACCCCAGGGAGAAUGCAGACUUAAGCAAUAACCCUCACCCAUUAGGAUGGUAACACUGGAAUUUCCUCUGAGGAAGAUUUUCUGCCUUUACAUGUAAAGAUGAGACUAAACAGCCGGCCAGCUUGGGCAGUUAGACCUUUACCUGCCCCAGACUCUGUUCUGGGGCAGGUUAUGGCGAGGUCCCUUCCACUGUAUAAUUCUAAGACAUCCUCAUUUCAAAGUUGCUAAAAAUAGAAGCAUGGCGUCUGGUAUGUAACAAUAUACAAUAUUGCAGCUGUGUCUUUAUGAUGAAUAAUAAUACUUUGGAGUUAUAUGAUGAGGCAAUCACUUUGCAAGCUCAAUCUCAUUAACCCUCACAAUAUUCUGAUUAGGUAGGCAGGUGGCAAGUGAUCUGAACUCUGUUUGCAAUUGCAAGAACCAAGACUGGGAGAAGCUCAGAAACUUCCUGGGGAACCCAUCAUGUCAAAAGUUGGGAACGUCGCCCAGAUCUCCUUUCCCAAAAUCUGAGGGAGGGGUCCAAAAUCUGGACCAGUGGUCCACAACAGCUUCCAGGUCUCAGGAGCAGAGGAAACACACAAUUGGCGCUGUCCUGACUGUACCAGCUCAAAAAACUGCUGAUUUCUUUGGAAUGAAUGCCAGCGCCACUCCAAGAGAAAAAGUUGAGGGUUUCUUUUUCUCUCCUUUCUCUCUAGCAAUUAAUCAACCUCUUCCUCCCUCCAAAAUCCAGCCCAUCUUGAAAGCAACCAAAGAAAUUUUAAAACCACACCAAAACCUCUUUAGCACUUAACACCAGCACUGUUACUGUCUCCUGAGCUUUUGUUUGCAUUUUGGGUCCCAUGUAAUCGAAGGUCGAUGGCUUAAGAAAAAGUCACCCUUUCAAAAGUCUUUAAAUACUCAGAUAGGCACCCCUUCUCAGCAGCUUGCUCCUCUGAGUCCUGAUUUUAUUCGUCUCUUUGUUAAUGGGAAAAAAAACAAAAAGAAGAUUCCUUUGCUUUUCUAAACACGCUGAGUGCCUUUCCUCAGACUAGAGGAACAGGUUUGGUGGUGCUGAUAGAAAAUCACAGGAAAAUGACACCAUUAGCCAGGAAACGUUUGCCAGCCGAGGGGAAAGGCGCCUUUGCAGCCUCUGGGGAAACACUGACGUUCGUUUAUAUGGGAAUCGUGAGAUUAAUAUGGGAACUCGGGUUUUGUGCUGUGGGGGUAGGUUUCCCCGGCUCCCUCUGAGACAUGACACACGGCCACAUCUUCAAAUUGUUAAUUAUGUACUGCCCCCUAGGGAUUUUUGUUUUGCUGGUGGCAACCUGCUUCAAAUCCUGCAGGAAACAUUUAUCAGCCGGCUUCAGCCAGUAUUUGCCGCACAGAAAGCUGUACCUUUUUGUGACCUUGUUGUACGGAGUCCACCCCUUUCCUGAGCAAAUUGCAUUCAAACACUUUACUUUUCAGAUUGUUGAUUUUCCCCCUCCCUCUGUUGUCUUAUUUUAUUUCCCAGGGAUGGCUUCCAUUUGCAUAAGCUGGGGUAGAGCCGUCUCUCUUUCAAAGCUCGGCUUUCCCCACCUCCACCACAUUUCCCCUGUGGUUUUGUAAACAUCUCUGAAUUUGGGGGAAAGAAGAGCAAACUGUGAAUUAGAGACACUUGCACACAUGCACUUACAUAUUUAUCUGUACUUACUGGUGGAGGAAUUCUCCACGCUCUGAAAUGUGCUCUAUGGAAUCCCAUUUAAAUCAAAAACUUUUAUCAGAAAAAUGAAAUUGCUUUAUGAUUGAAUAGCACUUUGCUUCUAAGUGCCAGUCAUUGAGGCUGAUGAAAUGACCAAGGCGACAUUCUUCCCUGGAAAGACAUCCUUGGCCUUUAUUUUUAAAUUGGAGGGAAAGAAUUUCAGCACCAUAUUCCUUCACAGAGGUUCUCGCAGACAGAGGACCCGUCUUUGCCUGUAAUUAACCGCAUUUCGGUAUCUGAUAAGAAUGUUGCACAUAUGCGUGUUUUUAGUGCCCGUGUAGUUUUGUUUUGUUUUUAAUAAUGUAGGAGACAGCCCUGGCAAGAAUCCUUCUUCCUGCAUGAUAUAUUUUUUAAAACACACACACACACACAAAUCUUGAACACAACAACUUUAGCAAAUAUAUGCAUGAUCAAAACAGUUCAGAAAUAUAAGAUCUGAAAAUGAGAAAGGGCAGCAGGUUUUUGAAUAGGCUUCAUCAGCAGAGGGGAGAGGUCAGCCGUGGAGAUUAGUUAUAGGAGCUAUUAAGUCUCCUCUGACACCCACAGUACAAGCUGCUCAACAUAAUCAGCCGCAAUCAGCAAAACUGCUGUUUAUUACAAAACGUUUUUCCCUUUUAAUAUUUCACAUUGUUAUGUAAAACGGUGCGGUGUAGGGACACACACAUUUCACCAGGGACAAAUUGUACAAAUUGUCAGCAAUAAUAAUUUGUGGCUCUUCUCGUGACAUCUUUUGAAGUUAAAAACCGUGGAACGAUACCUCUCCAGAGCUAUUUUCUCUAAUGUGGUUAAUGGUUUGCACUGGAGUUGACCAGCCACUCUCUGUACGAUGUUGUCACCAUUUACCAGUGUGAGAAAAUGUUUGUGUGACCGUACAUCAAUCAGACAAGUCGUGAAGCUUGCUAGGUUCCACUCACCCUUCCCCAACUGGCCAACACCCUCCAUGAUAUGUGUGUCUCCUGUGGAUUUCCUGGUCCAUCUUAAUCACCAAAGUAAUUCCCUUUACAAAACAUUUUCUUUCUUUUUUUUUUUUUUCUUUUUAGGGCCGCACCCGUGACAUGUAGAAGUUCCCGGGGCUAGGGGUCAAAUCAGAGCUGCUGGUGGCUACAGCUCUGAUUGGACCCAUAGCCUGGGAACCUCCAUAUGCCAAGGGUUUGGCCCUAAAAAGACAAAAAAAAUUUUUUUUGCUUGAAUAAUAAUAUUUUAUUUAACCUAAUAGAUCCAAAAUGUUUAUUUCAACAUAUAAUCAACCUAAAAGCUACUGAUGAGAUAUUUUGCAUUCUUUUUUCUUCUUGUCCUAAAUCUUUCUAAUGUGGUUGUAUUUUACACAUAUAGCACAGCUCCAUUGGCAGUAGCCACGUUGCUCAUGCUCAGUACCCAUGGGUGCUACUAUCAACCACAUUAGGCAGUGCAGUCCCAGACCUGCUUCGUGGUGCUUUUUUUUUUUUUAAAUUAUAGUUGAUUUACAGCGUUUUUCCCAUUUCUCCUGUACAGCAAAGUGAUCCAAUCAUAUAUAUCUACAUUCCUUUUCUCAUAUUAUCUUCUGUCAUGGUCUAUCCCAGGAGGUUGGUUAGAGUUCCCUGUGCUAUACAGUAGGACCUCUUUGCUUAUCCAUUCUAAAUGUACUAGUUUGCAUCUACAAAACAGAAACGCUGACAGACAUAGAGAACACACUCAUGGUUGCCAAGGGGGAGGAGGGAUGGAGGGGGAUGGAGGGGGAUGGAGGGGGAGUCUGGGGUUAGUAGAUGCCUCAUAGUGCUUUUGACUUUUGCCUUCUUGGGAAGGAAGGAGGCAGUAACUGGCGAUGACCCUGAGUGGUCCCUUCAACUUACCUUCUCCUCCCCAAUCCAAACAAAGGUUAGCAAUAGGAUUUUGAAUUUGAAGCUCAAAAGUUUGUGAAAUACAUCAGCUUGCAUGUCAUUCAUGCUAAUCACAUUUUUAUUCCUUGGGCCAGCAUUCCCUUGCUGCUUUUCCUUAUGUUUACCCCAAUCCACCUCAUGAAGACAAAUGUGGUUCCAACUAGAACAGUAGCAGUAGAGUUGCCACUGGAGAUAAAGAGAGGCAUCAAGGAGUGCUUCCUGGGUGUUUUCCUGGCUCACUCAUGUUUUUGAUGGUGGGACUGGCACCAUCGCCUGGGGAGAGUGUGGGUAGAGAGGAAGGUACUGCUGACUUCAGAGCCAGGGGUAUCCCAGCUCUGCAGGCUGGGAGAGUAGGGGGCCCACAAGAGGGGCUGAGAAGGAGCUGCCUGAGAGUCAGAGACCAAGUAGGGUGGGAGGGGAGUGGUCCCAGAAGCCUAGAGUAGACAGGUAUGGCUACUCUAGAGGUCAGGUAAGCCUCGUGGAUGCAAAAGCAGGGAACACAUGAAAGGGAUCUCGAAGGGAGGCUUAGGCAGUGAGCUGAGCAGAGUCAGGACAGUCUGAGAACAGAGUGGCAGCUCACACUGAACCAACAGGCCUGGACAAGUGCAAGGGCUCGGUCAGAGGAGAACUGGCCUUAGAUCCUGAUUCAGCCAGCCCUGGGACAGCUACGUCUCCAUAUUGACCUUAAGAGCCUCUAUGUCCCUCAUUAGCUCAGGAAAAGUACCCCUUCACCAUGGUUUUUUCUGCACUGAGAAGAGCCAGGGACACCUCCGCUACCAAGGACCUUGCAGAGUUGAAGUGUGUGGAGGACUGAGUCAAUAGAAAUUUAGCUGAGACCUUGGUUUCUCAGCAUUGGUCUUGCCUGGGAAAUUUCAUAAUAGAAAUUCUCCUUAAUUUCUCAACCUAAAUGUUCCUCCAUAGAGAAUUGGGCAAAUAAAGUCUGAAACAUUCAAAUAAUACAAUCGUAAAUGCCUGUUAAGAAGAAUGAGAGCUGUAUAUGUUGACAUAAAAAUAUAUGCAAGAUUCAUUUUAAGUGGCUACACCAAGUUUCCUAACAGUGUAUAAAGUAUGCUCGCUUUUGGGGGGGAAGGGGGUUAUAUACAUAUGCAUAUGUACCCACAAAAACACACUUUGUAUGUGCACAGGAAUUCUCUGGAAGAAUUAAAAAGAAGCUGUUAAGAGCAGUUGCCUCUGGAGGAGAAACUAGAAAGGAAUUUAGGAUGAGAUAGACAUUCGCCUUUGGCAUGUAAUAUUUAGUGUUGCUCAGUUUCUCUUGACCAGGUAGGUGCAGGCAUUAUUAUCAUUUAAAAUAAUAGUUCAGGAGUUCCUGUCAUGGCUUAGUGGUUAAUGAACCCAACUAGUAUCCAUGAGGACGCAAGUUCGAUCCCUGCCCUUGCUCAGUGGGUUAAGGAUCCGGCGUUGCCGUGAGCUGUGGUGUAGGUUGCAGAUGAGGCUCGGAUCUGGUGUGGCUGUGGCUGUGGCUGUGGCGUAGGCCAGCAGUUGUAGCUCCAAUUAGACCCCUAGCCUGGGAACCUCCAUAUCCACGUGUGCAGCCCAAAAGAGACAAAAGACAAAAAAAAAAAGUUCAAAGUAUUUUAACCAAUAUUUUCUUAUACUAGAUAUAUUAAACACUACCAAAUCUUGUGGAGAAAGGACUACAUACCUUUGUGACCAGCGUGAUGCCUUCAUUCAUUCAUUUCUCCAAAUUUCAAAUUUGAGGACAUUGGAAAACAACAUUGAUUAGGGAUCCGCUCUUCUCAAUAUUAAAUUUUUUUCCUUGUAGUAAUUCUACUCAGUGUCUAGAAAUCAAGUUCACAGGCUGGCUGACAGUGAUGCACUGCUGUGGCUCUGAACUUUAAAACCUCUAAAAGUCAAAAAAAUCAGGGCAAGUGUAAAACGCAAGUCACAGACUCACCUCUAAGGGUUUCCAGGUGGCUUUUCCGGCAUCACCUGCACAGCACCAGGUGACACACAGGAUUGCCCACAGGGAGAUGCCAGGAGGCUAUCAGAAAGGACACAAGGCUUACUGCUCUAAAACUCCUAAUUAAGCUACUGUGAGGGAGUUCCCUGGUGGCCUAGCAGGUAAAGAUUCACAUUGUCACUGCUGUGGCUCAGGUUACUACUGUGGCUUGGAUUCAGUCCCCAGCCUAGGAAUUUCUGCAUGCUGUGGGUGUGACCAAAAAAAAAAAAAAAAGAAAAAA